CUUCGGUGUGCCGCCACGGUGCGGCACGACCACUCCAAAGGAAUCAUCGGGCGUGAUGACGGAUCUGGCA
rnacentral:tRNA from 1 species